UACGUAGGUGGCAAGCGUUGUCCGGAAUUAUUGGGCGUAAAGCGCGUGUAGGUGGUUUUAUAAGUCAGAUGUUAAAGUCUCAGGCUCAACCUGAGUUCGCAUUUGAUACUGUAAAACUUGAGAGAUUCAGAGGAAAGCGGAACUUGCGGUGUAGCGGUGAAAUGCGUAGAUAUCGCAAGGAACACCAGUUGCGAAGGCGGCUUUCUAGGAAUCUUCUGACACUGAGACGCGAAAGCUAGGGGAGCAAACGGG
rnacentral:rRNA from 1 species